CGGCGGACGGGUGAGUAACACGUGGAUAACCUACCUAUAAGACUGGGAUAACUUCGGGAAACCGGAGCUAAUACCGGAUAAUAUAUUGAACCGCAUGGUUCAAUAGUGAAAGACGGUUUUGCUGUCACUUAUAGAUGGAUCCGCGCCGCAUUAGCUAGUUGGUAAGGUAACGGCUUACCAAGGCAACGAUGCGUAGCCGACCUGAGAGGGUGAUCGGCCACACUGGAACUGAGACACGGUCCAGACUCCUACGGAGGCAGCAGGC
rnacentral:rRNA from 1 species